rnacentral:lncRNA from 1 species
AUUGGUUCAUUAGUUUGGUUUUAGUUAGUUUAGUUAUAUUUAAUUUUCUAUUUUAAUAGAUUUUAGGUUGUUAAGAUAGGUUAUGUGUAGAUUACUUGGUUCUGAGAUUGCUAAAAGUGGUUAGAUUGUCUGGUUAUGUUGAUUCGCUGUGUUACAACUGGUUUCACUGAGAUAUGGCUAUUGGAAUUGCUGGAUUCUUCUUGAUUGUUGCUUGUUUUGUGUUAACUGUUGCUGGGGUGCUUGUUGAUUUGGAUUUGGGAUUGUAUGUUUUAUGUUUGGUAUUGAUUUUCGCUUGUUUGCUUAAUUUGGCACGCCAAGUGUUCGAUAAU